rnacentral:tRNA from 1 species
GCCGAAGUGGCGGAACUGGCAGACGCGCAGGAUUCAAAAUCCUGUCCUGGCAACAGGGUGAGGGUUCGACUCCCUCCUUCGGCA